AUGUAUUUAAUCCAUUUUAGAAUAAGGCUGUAAUGUAAAACAAAUUAGGGAAAAAGUCAAGGGGUCUGAAUACUUACCGAAUGCAGUGUAUGUACACUUGUUUAAUACAGUGAGAGUCAGAGAGAGGGUUGAGCAUCAUUCAAGAGCCCACAUUGCUAACUGGAGUUUGUAUUGUGUAGAAGAAAAGAGUCUGGGUGGAGUUUGUAUUGUGUAGGAGAAAAGUGUCUGGGUGGAGUUUGUAUUGUGUAGGAGAAAAGUGUCUGGGUGGAUGCACAAGCCCUGGAGGUUGAGCUGACAGACUGGCAGAGAGACCAGGAACCAGACACUGACCAUGAGGGCUUUUACCGCACCAGCCUGCCAACCAUCAUCACACAGAUGCUGGAGGGGAAUGCGCAGGUCGCUCUGAUGAUCAGUGAAUCACUUUAGCAUCAGACCACACAGGCCACAUGGAGAACCUCAGUGGUUUCCAGGAGGCGCCUGUUGAAUUUGGGAAGGAGCAUCGCUGGGAUCAAAGCACAAAUAACAAGUUCCACCUCUAUCUACUGGCCUCUAAGAGACUGCAUCAUCCUCAUCCUCUAUCAACCCCUGGCUGCUCUGGACCGGGUUGUGAGGAUGGCCUGCCAUCUGGCGAAAGGCCAACUACUGCUGGAGCUCCAGCCCUUCCUGCAGGGGCUCCUGACUGGCCCAGGGAUACAUCACGCUCACUUCGAAGUUAUGUGGCGUCCUGGAGCGCCAUAUUGAGAUGUAUAGUUGUGUUCGCCCACCCUGCCAGCACCUUUUGACAAUCAUAUUAGUCUGUAGCUGACAUAUACCAGUGUCCCAAGUAGCGUUUGCAGCCAGUGGCUGAUGGUGGUGGAGUAUGUGAGGGUGUUGAUGCAGAAGAGGCUGAUGAGGAGCGAUGCGAGCUGGCCCAGAGAAUGGCACUGGAUGCCCAGUAUCUGAGGGAUCUCUUCCAGGGCCUGGUUGUGAGGAUACACUUGAGUUUAGCCACAGCCAGUGACACCCAAUCCAGUGGGAAACUCUGCCCAGCUCUGCUCUCUUCUCUAUCCCACAGACUACACACCCAACUCACAGCCGGUCCACACCAUACCCAACAUACACCUCAAACCACACCCUCCUUCGUUUUAAUUCACUGCACCAUUUUAUGUACAGUUUCCAUUUUCAAAUAAAUAUAAACAUACUAUACACUAGCAGUCAAAAGUUUGGACACCAACUAAUUCAAGGAUUUUUCUUUAUUUUUACUAUUUUAUACAUUGUAGAAUAAUAGUGAAGACAAACUUUGAAAUAACACAUGGAAUCAUGUAGUAACCAGAAAAGUGUUAAAUAUUAAAUCUUUUUUGAUUUGAUUGAGAUUCUUCAAAUAGCAACCCUUUGCCUUGAUGACAGUUUUUGCACACUCUUGGCAUCCAUCUUCUCUGAAACCCUGGUGCCUAUUCCUAGCAUGCCAUUCUGUCUGCCUACUGCCAUCUGUGCCUGACUACCAAUUUGCACCUUUUAAAUUCACUAAUCACACACACACAAGCUUGCGGUUUAUAAGUUAUAUAAACUUGAAAUGAACAGUAAUGCAAUUGAAAUGUGUGAAAUUCAUGACUUCUUUAUUGGAAUAAUAUGUUGAUGAAUCUGAUAACUUUAAGUGUUUGAUCACUGCCAGAAAGAAAUACAGGUAACAAAAUAAAUACUUUAUUAAAUGGGGGAUACAAAGUCUAUUGAAAGCAGGUUCUUCCAUACAGUUGUUGUUUCUGAGUUAAUUAAGAAAUUAACAUCCCAUCAUGCUUAAGGUAAUUUAAAAAAUGCCAAGUUGUGCAUUAUUUUGCCUACCAUGACUAGAAGAGAUCUCAAUUAAUUUACUUUGAAAAAGGGGUCGCAAAGGUACAUAGGAGACAGCGUUUCCCACCACCUUCAACAAAACACCCAAUUAUGGAAUUGUUCAUGGAGGAAUGGUGUCGCAUCCCUCCAAUAGAGUUCCAGACACUUGUAGAAUCUAUGCCAAGAUUUCAUUGAAGCUGUUCUGGUAGCCCAACGCCCUAUUA